CCGCGGUAAUUCCAGCUCCAAUAGCGUAUAUUAAAGUUGCUGCAGUUAAAAAGCUCGUAGUUGGAUCUCGGUAUCAUUGUUGCCUGUCAGUCUUUGGGCGGUUGGCUAUCGGUGCAUAGGCACUGCUUGUGUUGCCAUAGUUGACUGUUCGAGCUGGCGAGGUGGCGGUGUCACCUUUCAGCCAUGUCUGUGGUGAAAUACCCGCAGGUGUAGGCGAGUGUCAGGCGGUGCCUUGCGACAGUAGGGUCCGUCGGCUCGUUUGCAUGCCUUUGGAUGCCCUUCAAAAGGUGUCUGUGGGCGGAUGGCACGUUUACUUUGAACAAAUUUGAGUGCUCAAACCAGGCCGACGUUGCCUGAAAAGUUUUGCAUGGAAUAAUGGAAUAGGACUUCGGUUCUAUUUCGUUGGUUUUCGGAUCCGAAGUAAUGAUCAAAAGAGACAGGCGGGGACGUUUGUAUGGCUGCGCUAGAGGUGAAAUUCAUGGACCGUAGCCAGACAAACUAAAGCGAAAGCAUUCGUCAAGCAUGUUUUCAUUGGCCAUGAGCGAAAGUCAGAGGCUCGAAGACGAUCAGAUCCGUCCUAGUUCUGACCAUAAACGAUGCCAACUGAUGAUCCGUGGUGGUAGUCUAUCAACCUUUCCCACGGCAGUCCCCGGGAAACCUUUAAGUCUUUGGGUUCCCGGGGAAGUAUGGUUGCAAAGCUGAAACUUAAAGGAAUUGACGGAAGGGCACCACCAGGAGUGGAACCUGCGGCUUAAUUUGACUCAACACGGGAAAACUCACCCGGCCCGGACACUAUGAGGAUUGACAGAUUGAUAGCUCUUUCUUGAUUUGGUGGUUGGUGGUGCAUGGCCGUUCUUAGUUGGUGGAGCGAUUUGUCUGGUUAAUUCCGAUAACGAACGAGACUCCAGCCUGCUAAUUAGUGCAUCUGUCCACUGUUCCUGUGUAGGCGGCGUUCGGCAAGGCUGCUCCUGUUCGCUGUCUUGAGGUUGGUUUGCCUUUACGGGUAGAUUGGCUUCUUGAUGGUUGGGUUGUGGCUGGUCCAGCGUUAGCUUCCGGGUACGGCGCGGAUGUCUACUUCUUAGAGGGACAAGCGGGAGAAGCCGCACGAAAUUGAGCAAUAACAGGUCUGUGAUGCCCUUAGAUGUCCGGGGCCGCACGCGCGCUACAAUGACGGUGCCAACGAGUCUGACCUUCUGGCCCGAAAGGGUUGGGCAAACUGGUCAAUCACCGUCAUGACAGGGAUCGGGGCUUGGAAUUGUUCCCCGUGAACGAGGAAUUCCUAGUAAGUGCAAGUCAUAAGCUUGCGCUGAUUACGUCCCUGCCCUUUGUACACACCGCCCGUCGCUACUACCGAUUGAAUGGUUUAGUAAGGUCCUUGGAUUGGCGCCAUUGUGGUGUUGCCCGAAAGGUAGCUACCCGACAGGUGCUGAGAAGACGACCAAACUUGAUCAUUUAGAGGAAGUAAAAGUCGUAACAAGGG
rnacentral:rRNA from 1 species